AAUGGACGCUGGCGGCAUGCCUAACACAUGCAAGUCGAACGAAGGCUUCGGCCUUAGUGGCGCACGGGUGCGUAACGCGUGGGAAUCUGCCCCUUGGUUCGGAAUAACAGUUAGAAAUGACUGCUAAUACCGGAUGAUGACGUAAGUCCAAAGAUUUAUCGCCGAGGGAUGAGCCCGCGUAGGAUUAGCUAGUUGGUGUGGUAAGAGCGCACCAAGGCGACGAUCCUUAGCUGGUCUGAGAGGAUGAUCAGCCACACUGGGACUGAGACACGGCUCAGACUCCUACGCGAGGCAGCAGUGGGGAAUCUUGGACAAUGGGCGAAAGCCUGAUCCAGCAAUGCCGCGUGAGUGAUGAAGGCCUUAGGGUUGUAAAGCUCUUUUACCCGGGAUGAUAAUGACAGUACCGGGAGAAUAAGCUCCGGCUAACUCCGUG
rnacentral:rRNA from 1 species